rnacentral:rRNA from 1 species
GGUUGCGAUCAUACCAGCACUAAUGCACCGGAUCCCAUCAGAACUCCGCAGUUAAGCGUGCUUGGGCGAGAGUAGUACUAGGACGGGUGACCCCCUGGGAAGUCCUCGUGUUGCAACCC